rnacentral:rRNA from 1 species
AUGCAAGUCGACGGGAAUCUUCGGAUUCUAGUGGCGGACGGGUGAGUAACGCGUAAGAAUCUAACUUCAGGACGGGGACAACAGUUGGAAACGACUGCUAAUACCCGAUGUGCCGAAAGGUGAAACCUAAUUGGCCUGAAGAAGAGCUUGCGUCUGAUUAGCUAGUUGGUGGGGUAAGAGCCUACCAAGGCGACGAUCAGUAGCUGGUCUGAGAGGAUGAGCAGCCACACUGGGACUGAGACACGGCCCAGACUCCUACGGGAGGCAGCAGUGGGGAAUUUUCCGCAAUGGGCGAAAGCCUGACGGAGCAACGCCGCGUGAGGGAGGAAGGUCUUUGGAUUGUAAACCUCUUUUCUCAAGGAAGAAGUUCUGACGGUACUUGAGGAAUCAGCCUCGGCUAACUCCGUGCCAGCAGCCGCGGUAAUACGGGGGAGGCAAGCGUUAUCCGGAAUUAUUGGGCGUAAAGCGUCCGCAGGUGGUCAGCCAAGUCUGCCGUCAAAUCAGGUUGCUUAACGACCUAAAGGCGGUGGAAACUGGCAGACUAGAGAGCAGUAGGGGUAGCAGGAAUUCCCAGUGUAGCGGUGAAAUGCGUAGAGAUUGGGAAGAACAUCGGUGGCGAAAGCGUGCUACUGGGCUGUAUCUGACACUCAGGGACGAAAGCUAGGGGAGCGAAAGGGAUUAGAUACCCCUGUAGUCCUAG